rnacentral:misc_RNA from 1 species
CAGAGUUGCAAAACUCCCAACCCUUUGUGAACGAACCUAACAGUUGCUUCGGCGGAAGGCUCUUUACUGAGCGGCCCGCCGGAGGUCUAUAAACUCUUGUUUUUUGGUAUCUCUGAGUAGCUUAUAAAUAAGUUA